UUUAAAAAAAAAAGUGACUUAUGCCACUUUGAAAAUAAACGGCUCAAAUGUUUCUUGUCAUUUCGAAAGAUCGGGAAACAUAGACAAAAUGCAAUUUCGUUUCCUCCGAAUAAAUAAAUCAGCCUUUGUUUAAAUUCUAAAGGUUUCUAUGCUGCGAGUCUUAUUAAAUUCAUUAAAUUGCAUUUCUUGCAAACCUUAUUAAUUAUAGAACAAUGCUUUGCACUUUCACUAGCCGAAGUUCUCAAAGGAAGUUUAAUUAGCAGAAAUCAGAUAUCUGACGUUUGCAGCCUACCAGAAUAUUAAAAGAAAAAAGAACUGUCUGCGUCUCAUUCGAUGAUUGCGUUUCAUAAAACUAUGUACAACAACAAAAAUGAUGUAGCACAGUGUUAUAUAACAAAGUUUGUUUUCACAAAUAGUUAAAUCCACACUGAUAGGAGGUAAGCAGAAGAUAAAAGAUAGUCACGAGACGAUUAAGAAAGUAUAAUCGGUGUCGUACGCAAUUUGGAAACAAAUUUAGAAGUUGUCAUAAUGUAUUCCAGAGAGUCAGACGUCAUUCGCGCGAAGAAAUUCAAAAGGCUGUCGCAGUAAUCAAUUACAGAUCGUUGAAUAUACUAUUACAAAUCUAUUUUUAAUUCAAAAUAAUAAAAAUGUAUCACGAUUAAAUUUUAUAUUAAAUUAUAUUAUCAAAUUCAA